ensembl:lncRNA
GGCCACGAGGCUCCAGACGCCCUCGCGACGCGGACACGCGCAGCAGCCAGCGCCCCGCCGCCCUCUCCUCGCGCGUGCCCGUCCGCGCCCGCCGUCCCCCCUCGAGCAGCCCGGGGUGGGCGCGGCCUCGGCGCCCGGGCGGGAAGUAGCGCCGUCCGCGCGGAAGGACACGCACGGCGUGGUGCGGCCUGCGCCUUUAUAUUACUCGGCGGCGGCUGUCUCGGGUUGGUCUGCGAGCUCUAAGUCCUGGAGCCCUGCUCUCCCCUCCUGCGGGUCGGCCCUGGUAGCUCCUGGCAGGUGUCAGUAGGCCAGGCCCGGAUUCCCCCAAACUUAAACGCUGGGCGCCCGAGUUUCGAUUUCUUCUGCUGCGAAACAAUGGUCGUUGGGAUUCGAAGUGAGAGAAUGCAGGGCAAAUCGCCUAACAGUAUUUAGUGAGUUCUCCAGAGCAUAGCCAGUACUACAAGCAGCAACACGGACAGAACUGAGCAGCACUAUCGGGGGUGGGGGUGGGGGUGGGGGUGGCAAAAGACCACAGUCUGAUUUCACUUCUAUGAAAUUUUAGAGGUAAACUGUAGCGACAGCAUUUGCCUGGGGAGGAGAAACCAGGACCUAAUGCAGUGCAAAGGAGCGGGGGAGGGGGGACUUAGAAGAGGUGAAAGAAUGUACUCUGCAUCUUAAUGGGAACGGUGGUUACGCGACUUACACGGCGGCCAAAAUUCAUAGAAUUGUAGUCUCUAGAUGGGCGAAGCUUAUCUUCAAGUUAUAUACAAAAUUUCCUCAGAGUUGGGGCAAAAAGUUUUAAAAAUGAUCACUGCUAGGCGUAGUUGAGGACUUAAGUUUGUGGGGAGAAAAUACCAGUUUACAAAAAUCUGAGCGUUAGACGCAUGCAGUCUCUGAAUGUAGUAGCUUCUCCGAGUCCUCUAGAACCAGGGGAUAGCCUAGGUCCGAGGAGGAUCCAGGAUUGCAAGCAGGAUCCUAAAUUUGCUAGGGUCUGUUGAUGUAGAGGAUUGGCCUCCGUGUGGCAUCCUUUCCCUGGAUGAGGGUCGGGCUUCAACACUGCCCCCUUGAUGGGAUGUUCCCGCGGGUCCCCCUUGCCCCAGACUCAUGAGGAACUACAGUCCAUCUCCCCCUGGCUUCCCUGACAGUUGGCUGGUGGGAUCCAGGGCUGGGCCCAGAGCAGUGAGAACUAGAGGCCCGUGAGGAGAGCCUCACAAAAGAGGCAGAAAACAAGUAGUAGCCAGCGUGUACGCUCAGGCCCCUUCCUCCCAUCCACACAGUUCUGCAUGGAAGCUGCCUUUGAGGACUGAGCAAUCCAACUGUACUUUCCUGUGAAGUUGCUUUCAGAUCAAUAAUGCACCACUGCAUCUGGCCUCCCUGGCCUAGAAAUUACCUUCUAAUCACAUCUCGGCGCUUAAACUUGGCCUCAGGCUCAGCUUUCUAAUCAACCCUUUAGCAGUCUUUGGGCUUUAGAUCUGUGCUUUCUUCAAAUUUCACAAUCACAAGCAGAAUUAGGACCUUUUUCCCCUCCCUUGCUUUGGCCGUGGUUUACUGUCCCACUAAAGUGCUAGUUUAUUUGGGUAACUCCGAUAUAAUUUAUUAGUCCAUGUUCGCAGCACAUAAUGGUUCCAUUCCUUGUGUGGAGUUGGUCUGUGUACAGAACACAUCUUAAUUACUUUUUUUCAUCUUUUCCUCUCCUUUGACAAAGAUGUCUCCCUACGUCCUAUUUAUAAUUGGGUUUCUCACAUAAGAUCAUGUGAUACGUAAGUGCUGAUGGGUUUAGGUGAUCCCUUGGGGCCAAUGCUGAAUACAUGUAUUUUUUGUUUUGAAGUAGUGGACCCCCCCCCAUUUGAAGUUGGUAGAGGUAAAAGUUUUGCCUUACAUUUAUUGGUUUCUAGUAGAGCUCCCUCAGGAGUGCUCGAUCCUGGGCACUUACCGGUUUUAAACAGUUGGAAGCUUGAAAGCCUUGAAGUAGGAACCAAAGACCUUUCAAUUAUCCGAUAAAGCUGUGAGCCUAGGUGGGAAGACUGAGGCCUAAUUGGCCUCUUCGGCCAGCACUGAGAGGAAAAGGGGGAUCCAAGCGAGCUAACACGCCGCAGGGAGAAGUAGAAACACCGGAGGGUAGGUUGUUUACCCGGAGAAGUACCGUGGGGGUGGAGACAGAUGGAUUCUGUGAACUGUAAUUGCUCUGCCCGUGUCUGGGUGAAUAAAGCCAAGGUGGCCAGUGGCUUGCGGCUCUAUAUCGAAGGGAGACGUGAGCUCUCGGGCCUCCCAGAUUUUAAACCUGUUUGUGUGUGGCUAUUUGUUCAUCCUCCACACCCCUCGGUUAGAUUUGAGCUCGGAGGCUGGUCCUACAUGAGUCUAGGGUCUAGUUACAUGAUUUCAGCCUACUGUAAAACCACAUUCUAUCUUUCCUAAAAUCAGGGGAGGGUAUAUUAAAGCCUUGUUUAAAGUGACCUCUAGUUGAUAAUUUUUGCAUGCAGCAUCAGGGGACAACACUGGAUGAUUCAUCCAAUGAAAAUUUGAAUGCUGGUGAAAAAUCUAGGUGAGAUGAAGAAAAGCGAGAUCAGGGAACUUGCAAAAGAAAUGCUGUCAGAAAAUGAAAAAGAAGCUCACUGAAUGCAGGAAACAUACCAGCAUCCAAUCAACUCAUUUAAAUGGAUAGCUUGAACAGAAGCAGGAUUUCUCUCCACAGUUCUCGCAGUGGAAUCCUUGGGGAAAGAGGAAAAGAUUAAGUCAUCAUUUGAGUUUCUUCAGGCUCAACCAAAGGCUAACAAUUCACAGAAAUAUCUUGGAAUCAAAGAGAAGACUCUGGUGCUCUCACUGGCUGUUGUUUGGCACCUUGGAUAGCCAGGGCAGAGACACAAAACGAGAGCAAAGACUGUAGGAAACUUCCCUAAGAGAAGAGGGGAAAGAGAGCAUUUGGUUGCUUUGAAAUGGAUAUGUGGAAACCAGCCUCACUCGGGCAGCCUUUGCAGCCUUCUGCUGAGCUCCAGGCCCCUGCCUGGCAGCCUCUCACAGGUGACGGGCAGAAAGGGGAUUGUCUUUAGAAUCUGCACUGAAGCCACCGCCGCCUCUCCACCACUGAGAUCCAACUGGUUCCCUCUAAAAUGGCUUUUUAAAAUUUGCAAAUACAGAAACAGGCUGGGGAGAACCUAAGCAAAAGUGUACAUUUACUGGAUGAGUACUUGACCAGCUCAUGGAUUCCAAGAAGUUGACCAAGCCUCUCCCCCGAAGAGCAGGCACUGGGCAGUUCCUGGAAGCUGAGCGGCUGAACUCCACUGACCCCUCCAAAGGGCUGCCUUUAAUGACUCGAGUACCAACUCCCGAGGCUCAUCUACGGCCGCCUCACUGUGGAAAUCUAAAAAUUCUUCAGAGAUUCCCAAUGGCCUGCAUGGGCACUACAGUGUGGGCCUUUCCUUUUAAACUGAUCCUCUUUAAAAAUGGUUUCAGGCACUGCUAACCUCAGCUGAGUAGAUGGGGCUGUCGGAACCAGAUUCCGAUGCCCAGUGUAAAGAGUCAAAGUAGCAGCAGUCCCAACAGGGUAAAGUUUAAAAGAACCUAUUCUCUUGGGCAAGAUGCACUUUAAAAGUGUCUCUGCCUAGGGCUGGGGUGUGGCUCUGGUGGACUCACCCAGCUUGUCCAGGGUAGGGGUGGGAGGUUGUCUUCUGGUUUCUGGUGGCCUCAUUCAUUUAGUAAUUACUUCUAAAUAACCUGCUGUGAAUAAACCUAGACCUGUGUCUCGUGUGUGAGCAGUCUUAAGGGAUUCUGAGAGUAACUUUUCAUAUGAACACUGGAUUUUAAGCCCCUUCCCCUUGGAUGAGAAACCUACAGAUUUUGCCUGAGCAACGAGAGCACAUCCUUGUUAAGGUUAAGAUUUCACUGUCUCUGUUCAGAGCCUUCAUUAGGCUACAUCAGAGGACAACUGAGAUGGCUCUGCAAUUAACUGCAGCCAAGCGUCACUUGUUUUUAUAAUGUGACUUGGGUAUAACUGAAAAAUAACUCAUGCCUCUUUUCCUUUCCCUUCUGAACUGGAUAGAUAACUGCACAUAAGUUAACUUUUUAUUUUUGGUACUGGGGAUCAAACUCGGGACCUUGCACUUUCAAGGCAGGCACCAGAACCACUGAGCUAAAUUCCCGGCCCCCACAUAAGUUAAUUUUUUAAAAAAUUCUAGCUAUUUCCUCAAACCUGAGGUAAGAGCAGUUUAGAAGACAUUUAGCAGCCAAGCUCCCCAAGGGAGGCCAGGAACUUCUAACUGACAAGGGCUGCUAAGGCCGCAGAGUCUACCCAGAAUGCAUAUGCAAAGUAUCUGGAAAUUUGGUUUGGGCUUAGAUCUGAGCAAAUCUGAUGUUCUGUACUCCAGAAUUGCUUCAACUUCAACCAGCAGCCACGCUCAUGGUCCAGGCAGAUUGCCUACCAUCCCCAAUACAGGUUCUGUUUUUGUGUUUGAUAAUAAAACUAGGCAUGGAGCAUGGAGAGCUAUCCCAGCGGAUCAUCUGUGUGGCAAAUAUGCUGCUUUCUUGCAUUCUGCCACAGAGCCCUGCCUCCUCCUCAUGACCAGGAUCAGUGACCACUACUAGUACUGAGACUGAAGUAACCUAGUGGCAGCUUUGGUGUAAAGGACAGUGGGCCCCUGUGUCUACGGAUAAAGUGUUGUCCUUCUGGGAACCAAGACCACGUGACCCUCAAUGUAAAGUUUUGGCUACAAGAAGCACAAAUCUUCCAAAUGUACCACUAGGAAGGACAGUAAGCAAGGCCAUGCCUAUUUCCUCCUAGCCCCCAUGGCCCUAGCCCCACGUAUUUAGUUUGGGACGUAUCACCCUAAAUCAAUGAUCAACAUAUGGCGCUAGCUCAACCUGUAG